CGCCCCCCCCCUUCCCUGUGCGCGUGUGCGUUUUUUUUUGUUGGGGGUCUCGACUGUCUCUACGCCUUUAAUGCUGCUCCGAGCUACCGCGGCGUCGACGUUGGCCUCGGCGCUUCUCCACCGCAGGGGACGCGCACCGCGGCCGGUGACGGCGGGUGUCACCGCCAGCCUUGCCAGUCGCUGCUGUUGCUCACCUCCAUCGGCUGCUCUAUCUUCGUCAUACCAGCCAACGUCUUCGCUUGUGCUGCUGCGUGCAGCGACGUUGUGCGCGCCCACCACAGGCAGCUCUUCUGCUUGGGCGACAGCUCGCCGCUGGCAGUCCAGCGGUGGCCCAGGCUACGGCACCGUCCCCGCCGACAUCGACUCGCCACGCGGCGCAGCAAAGCCCACGGAAGAGGAGCUCCAUCGCGAGCAGCGUCGCCGCACGCACGGGCCCGCGGCAACUGCCGAGGACGCGAACAAGGAAGCCGUCAGCACCCACGUAAGCGGGUACAACCCAUGGGAGGUGCUGGGCCUGAAGCCGGGUGCUUCGACGCAGACGAUCCGCCUGCGCUACCACGAGCUCAUGAAGCAGGUUCACCCGGACAUGGCGGCCGACGGCACCGGCGACAUCCCACGCCUCAACCAGAUCAACAAGGCAUACGAGCUGAUCACUAAGAGUCCGACGCUGGACCGGCGCUACCGAAACCUUGUCUCAGACACGCAGUACUUCUACUACAAGUUCCUGCCCGAGUGGAUGGCGCGCAACGUGGACGAGAUGCCGCGGUACUGGAGUUGGGUUAAGUGGCGUACCCCGAGCGGCUUCCACAUUUUCCUGCUGCUCUGCGGCUUCUACGUGCUCGGCCGCUUCUACGCCGCCUUCCCAAUGCUGACGAGCGUCUUCUUCGUCUCCGUGGCGCUGGAUGUGCUGCUACACACGAUGCUUGCCCCGGCGGCGUUGUGCAUGCUGUUCCUCUACUCGAUCAUGGCGUACCGGAGCUACGAUAUGGCGUGGCUGACCAGCCCGAAGGGCUUUCUGCGUCGUGAGUUGGGCUAUUAAUUUCACGAACAGCAUGGCGGGGCACUCGCGCAAAGUCGUUUGCGCCUUGCACGUGUGUCGUGCGCGGGCUGAUGGUGGCGCUGAGGCGGUGGCGCUCCGUUUGAUGCGUUUGCUCUUUGCGGGGUGCCCUCGCGGAGGGUGGGGUGGGGAGGAGGAGGGUGGUGGCGCCGACAGAGGGCGCACUCCUGCGCCCGUGCGUGCUUGCAUAGUGCACGAGAGGGCGGAUGAGGUGGGCGAGGGUGGGCUCGUUUGGCAGAGCGAAUACAGGUAGCGCCUUCCGCCUUCCCUCCGGGGGCGGUGCGGAGGGGGCUCACCUCAGCAGUCACGCGCGCCCUCCCAUCGCACGUUCCUGUCUUCUGCACCUCCAUUUGUGUGGCGCCGUUUUUUUUUUCUCGGCCGCCACUCGGUUAGCUUGCGUGUGUGUGUGCUCUUAAGGCGAUGAUACUUAAAUCGAGUGGACAGUCACAGACGAAAUAGAGAGAAAAGGAGGGGAAGUGAAUGUGUUGGAAGGUGGGGGGCGCAGCGCAGACCUGCGCAUCCCUCCGUGUGGCUACGUGCGGGUUGCCUCGCCCUUCCGUGUAAGUCGAGAUAUGUUCCCCCUCCCCCUUCCAUCUAUCUCCUUGUUUCUGUGUGUUUGUGUGUGUGCGUGGCUGUCGGCGUAGGGGUCUCGCACGCUCACAAACUCCGGUCGACUCCGUCAGCAGCGAUG
rnacentral:misc_RNA from 1 species